rnacentral:rRNA from 1 species
AGGUGAACCUGCGGAAGGAUCAUUAUCGA